AGGAAGUGAAUUAAAUAUCCAGUCGAAUGACAUAUUUUUCAUAUAAAUCGUAUAAAAAUUAGAUAUAUUUUUUGUCUAUCAAUAAGGGACAUGUACUGCGUAAAAUGGUUUACCAAAGUCUUCAAAAUCAAUGGAACAGCAGAUGAAAGUGUUUUAGAUAUUAUAAUGUGUAAAAAUAUACACAUGUCGGAGGUUGUAAAAGUGGUUUAUAUUCCUGCUACACGAGGACGUGUAAUUUGUCAGGAUGACCGUGUCGGAGAUUGAAUUAGGCAUUUCUAAUAAUUUGAAUUGUGUGCCUACUUUUAAGGCGAAUUAAUCAGUGUUGAGUAAUGAACAACAUGACAGAUGUAGAAUUGUUUAACACUAGAUAUGUGCGAUGAUAAUAUUCUCUUCCUCUUUUCUUUCUGGAAUUCAACCUGAACGCACGUCGAGACUCCCUGCACAAACCUAGUGACAAUAAUGGAAGCCAAUAAUGGAAACAACGAUUCAGGAAUCCUUGAAAUCCUCAACUCGCCGAUACAUAUGUAUUUACAUAUAUUCCUGUUCAGCAUCAACAGCCGCCUUUGCGAGAUCUUGGAGACUGUAGAAGUGCCAGCCAAAGACAAUAUGGGCCACCAUUAGAUAAAUGGUCAUCAGAGUUAUUUGGCCCAACAUCAUGGGAAAAACUGUCUUGAGAUAUCGAGUAAAGGAUAAUUUAUAGCCAUGUUGCUCCGCUAUUCCAGCUGCGAUGACAUUAGCCGAUGCACCGUACAGAGUGCCAUUGCCACCCAGAGAAGCACCCAGAGUGAGGGCCCAAACCAAGGGCUGCAGGGGCAAACCCAAAGAUUCCUUUGCCACCAAUGAAAUGACCAAUUUAACCAUCAUUGCCGUAACUGGAAUGCUGUCCAAAAUCGACGAGGCUAAAGCUGAUGUCCAGAGUAUCAUGAAAAUGGCCAUGGCCAGGCGAUGACGUUCAUUCACCGAGAGGAUCACAUGCUCGGUGAGUUCUCCAAUGCAAGAGAAAAGACCCAAACGUUCCACACACUCCAUCAUGACGAACAUGGCUGCAAAAAAGAGUAAAGUUGUCCACUCAAUGCGAUGCAUCAGGUGCUCCAAGUCAUCGCGGUUGAGUAUAAUAAGCAGAAGAAUGACUCCCAGGAGCGCGACCCAGCCAAGAGGUAGGGUGCGCCAAUGUGGCACCGAUUGGAUGAAAAAGCAGAUGAUCACAAAGGCCAAUGCUCCAGAGGAUUGCCAAAGUAAAGUCCUGUUCUUGAUGGGAUACUGCCAAUGAAAAAAAAAUUUCAAACUUAGGAAAUUGUAAUCGAGAUAAUCAGAUUUUUUACCUUUUGCUUCAGCUCAUCCAAAGUGCUGGUAUAGACCUCCGUGGAGCCAACCCCACGUUGUUUACGUCUCAAGGUUCUCUUCAAGUGUUUAACCUUACUAUCCAGAGUGCAUCUCACCAACUGAGCGUCUUUGGAGCAAGACGCAAUGGCAUUGACCGCCCGUUGCCAUACCUUAAUCUCACGUCUCAACUCUAGAAUCUCCUUGGGCUCAUUCAGACGGAGUGCAUCAAUAUUGUGAUAGAAAAGUCGCAAAUAUAGGCAACUCUGAAUCACAGCCAGGAUAACUCCAGGUAGAGUGUGAGCCACAAAGGUCAGAAAGGUAACACCCUAUAGUGAUUGGUGCUGACGAUUAUGCUAAUUGGAUCUCCAAUGGGUGUCAGAGCCCCACCGAUAUUUGCAUGAACAAUAAUGCCCAUAACCACCGGCAACGGAUCCAGUUGCAUUACCUCGCAUAGGCGAAUGGCGACAGGUGUCAGCAGUAGAACCGUGGUCAUGUUAUCUAAUACGCUCGAUACCAGACAGGUCACCCAGCAUAACGUAUAGAUCAUGGGCCAUAUUUUUCCUCCUGAUAUCUCGAAACAAAAUACCGCCAACAAGCCAAAGCCGUGACUGAUAGAAUCGAACAAACCAUGGCCACAAAUGGCCUCUCAAACAAUUCCCA